GGGGGCGUAGUUCAGUUCUGGAUAGAACGCCGGCCUGUCACGCCGGAGGUCGCGGGUUCGAGUCCCGUCGUCCCCGCCA
rnacentral:tRNA from 1 species